GCGAGGAGGAAGAUACCGAGUGGAAUGAAAUACUUCGAAAUAAUGGUAUUUUACCCCCUAAAUCUCCACCGGAAAUUACAGAUUCUUUUGCAGAGCAGGCAAACGGAAAUGUUGUGAAACCUAACUGUUAUGAAAAAUUGACUCUCAGUGAUCUUGAGGAUUUAGAGGACGAGGUCGAUGAAAGGAUUCUUUGGCAAUACAAGUUAAAAAGAAUUAAAGAAAUUAAGGAACAGCAGCACGCAUUACACUAUGGAAGAAUAAUGGAGAUUAGCCGGGCCGAUUUUAUAAAAGAGGUUACCGAAGCUCCUAAGGGAUGCCCAGUUAUAUGCAUUCUAUAUUGCAAUGCACUUCCAACUUGCAAGUUGCUUUUGAAACAUAUGGAAGUUUUAGCCGAAAAACAUUCAACUUUAAAGUUUGUGAAGAUUACGGGGAAGAGCUGUAUCGAGAACUACCCCGACGAAAACUUGCCAACCAUAUUUAUAUAUAAGAACGGCAAUUUACUUUCCCAACACGUGGGCCCAAUGCAGUGCGGAGGUCCAAAUAUGACUCUUGAUGGCGUGGAGCGGAUUUUCUCAGGAUCAGAGUGUUCACCACAGAGUUAGAAUAAAGGACUCAUGUAAAUAA